GACGUGAUGGCUGAGUUGGCUUAAAGCACUUCCCUGCUAAGGAAGAGAACACAUCUAGUGUUCCGUAGGUUCAAAUCCUACUCACGUCG
rnacentral:tRNA from 1 species